GAUGAACGCUAGCGGCAGGCUUAAUACAUGCAAGUCAAGGGGGUAGCAAUACAACCGGCGCACGGGUGAGUAACACGUACACAACAUACCAUAUACUGAGGUAUAGCUUCGGGAAACUGAAGGUAAUCCCUCAUAGUAUUGUGAAAGGGCAUCUUUUUUACAAUUAAAGUUUCGACGGUAUAUGAUUGGUGUGCGUUUGAUUAGCUAGUUGGUAGGGUAACGGCCUACCAAGGCAACGAUCAAUAGCUGGCGUGAGAGCGCGACCAGCCACACUGGAACUGAGACACGGUCCAGACUCCUACGGGAGGCAGCAGUAGGGAAUAUUGGACAAUGGGCGAAAGCCUGACGCAGCGACGCCGCGUGGGUGAUGAAGGCCUCGGGUCGUAAGACUCUGUGGGAGGAGACGAAUAAGACGU
rnacentral:rRNA from 1 species